UCCUAGCUGGCUCAGUUGGUAGAGCAUGAGACUCUUGAUCUCAGGGUUGUGAGUUUGAGUCCCAUGUUAGGUG
rfam:Felis catus isolate Cinnamon breed Abyssinian chromosome E1, whole genome shotgun sequence.